UGUUUCGGUCCGGAGUCAGUGGGUUACCUAUCAGACAAUCCCCCAUCGACACCCACUUGACCGGCAU
rnacentral:sRNA from 1 species